UACGUAGGGGGCAAGCGUUUGUCCGGAUUUAUUGGGCGUAAAGAGCGUGUAGGCGGUUAGGUAGGUCCGUUGUGAAAACUCGAGGCUCAACCUCGAGACGCCGAUGGAAACCAUCUGACUAGAGUCCGGAAGAGGAGAGUGGAAUUCCUGGUGUAGCGGUGAAAUGCGCAGAUAUCAGGAAGAACACCCGUGGCUAAGGCGGCUCUCUAGUACGGUACUGACGCUGAGACGCGAAAGCGUUGGGGAGCGAACAGG
rnacentral:rRNA from 1 species